CACGUAGGGGGCAAGCGUUGUCCGGAUUUAUUGGGCGUAAAGAGCUCGUAGGCGGCUUAGUAAGUCGGGUGUGAAACCUCCAGGCUCAACCUGGAGACGCCACCCGAUACUGCUGUGGCUAGAGUCCGGUAGGGGAGCGUGGAAUUCCUGGUGUAGCGGUGAAAUGCGCAGAUAUCGGGAGGAACACCAGUGGCGAAGGCGACUACCUGGCCUGUUCUUGACGCUGAGGCGCGAAAGCUAGGGGAGCAAACGGG
rnacentral:rRNA from 1 species